GGGCCCGUAGCUCAGCUGGUUAGAGCGUUCGAUUCACAUUCGAAAGGUCCCUGGUUCAAGUCCAGGCGGGCCCA
rnacentral:tRNA from 1 species